rnacentral:rRNA from 1 species
UGGGGAAUAUUGCACAAUGGGCGAAAGCCUGAUGCAGCAACGCCGCGUGAGUGAUGAAGGCCUUCGGGUUGUAAAGCUCUGUCUUUGGGGACGAUAAUGACGGUACCCAAGGAGGAAGCCACGGCUAACUACGUGCCAGCAGCCGCGGUAAUACGUAGGUGGCAAGCGUUGUCCGGAUUUACUGGGCGUAAAGGAUGCGUAGGUGGAUAUUUAAGUCAGAUGUGAAAUACCCGAGCUUAACUUGGGUGCUGCAUUUGAAACUGGGUGUCUAGAGUGCAGGAGAGGUAAGUGGAAUUCCUAGUGUAGCGGUGAAAUGCGUAGAGAUUAGGAAGAACACCAGUGGCGAAGGCGACUUACUGGACUGUAACUGACGCUGAGGCAUGAAAGCGUGGGGAGCAAACA